AGCGAGGCUAGAGUCACAUCUCGACAUGUGCGGUUGUCCCGUUGUGCUAUAGCUCUCGUAGAUUAAUCUCAUUCUCUCUGCUUAUUCAUUGGCUGCUGCUCUUCUCCAUCGCUCGGCCAAUCACCAGCUCAGAGACACUC